rnacentral:piRNA from 1 species
UUGCCAGGAGCACUCUGAUUUCUUAGAAAGU